UACGUAGGGCGCGAGCGUUUGUCCGGAAUCAUUGGGCGUAAAGAGCUCGUAGGCGGCCUGUCGCGUCUGCUGUGAAAUCCCGGGGCUUAACCCCGGGCGUGCAGUGGAUACGGGCUGGCUGGAGGCAGGCAGGGGAGAACGGAAUUCCCGGUGUAGCGGUGAAAUGCGCAGAUAUCGGGAGGAACACCGGUGGCGAAGGCGGUUCUCUGGGCCUGUACUGACGCUGAGGAGCGAAAGCGUGGGGAGCGAACAGG
rnacentral:rRNA from 1 species